CUCUUGCCUGGUCCAUGAGCUGGGUGCUCAUUGAUAGCUGGAGCUCACCUUCUGUUUUAGUGUCCCCUGUGGGGAACACAGUGUAUGCUCUCCGUGACUGCUUUGUGAUGUGAAUCAAAAUAAGUAAAUGGACGCUAUUGGGAUGUUUGUUUCACGAGUGUUCUUCUGAGCCAAACUAAAGUGCUAACCUAGGCACACGCUCAUUGUUUGCGUUAUCUUCAGUGCAGUUUGUCAUCAUGGCAUCAAAUCAGCAAAAUGCAAAAAUACUACUCCAAGUGUAUGGAUGUUCAAUCCUAAAAAUAAUAGAAGGUGACCUAUGUGUCUCAUCUUGUUCAGAAAACUUUGACCAAGAUCCAGGAAGUUGAAACAUAUCACUGGCACAGCCAUCAAUGGAGCCAUCCACAUUUUUGCAACUACAAGGUAGUACUGAAGGAUAGAAGAUUAAAUGAUUGACGAAGCAGCUGAAACUUACUGAGCUCCAUUCGAUGUGUUGUGCAGCCCUAACGGUGCUGGAAGGGAAUAUAGGGAAGAUGAUGCUAUGAAAAUAAGCAAAAAAAAAAAGACUCACAGUGAUGAGGAGUUUGAGGAGCCAGAUUCUCCGCCAAACCAAACGGAGCAAUGCCCAGGCUGCUCUUCCUUUACACCAAGAGGCAGGCAGAAAGGAGUCAGGCAGGCCGUCACACUAGCAGGGUUAUUGCAGCAGCAAAACUUGAAUUGUGCUGGAGAUACCUCUUCACAGCUUCUGGGCAGAGCGGAAGAAACCUCCAACAUCUAAGGAGAUGUGUUGGAAACAAGGAAAAAGUGUCACCAGACAAGGGAGGAA
rnacentral:lncRNA from 1 species